rnacentral:tRNA from 1 species
UCCCCAAUAGUCCAGGCGGGUAGGAUACGUGGCUUUCACCCACGCGACCCCGGUUCGAGUCCCCGGUUGGGAAA